UUUUAAAUCACGUUGCUCAUUUAAUUUUUGGUUGAUUACAAUUAUAUAUAAUCAGAUGUAUAAUUAUAUAAUUAUGAAUCAAUAUACAAUACUAAAAGGGGAAUAAGGGCUCCCCUCAUGCUUCCACGUCGGAUCAUAAAAUCGGCCAAUAAGAAUGCAUCAAACUUCCACGUCAUUAAUGAGUUAAUUAGUUUUGUUUGGGCCUCCGUUGUUUUCGGUCCGUCUAUUCUGAAGUCUAAAGCCCAGAUUGAGCAACCGAAGGGCAGAUGUGUUACGCGAUGAAUGUCGACUUCCAUCUCUUCCAUUUCUCUCUUAUCCUGAUCCGUUUCGAUGAGUAAUUUUGCUACUAAUUGCUCUCAUCAAACCUGAGAUUGAGCUCAUUCAAUGGAUUCCUUUCAUCUUCUUCUAAAAUUUUCUAUAUAUAGAACUCUUUUCAUAGCUUAUGUCUCCAUUAAAGUUCAUAAGAUUCUCUCAUUUACUCAUCACGAUGGAACCCACCGGCAAGUCUACCGUCUCCGGCGAACCCAAGCCCAUCAAGAAGACCGUCGCAACCUCCGCGACUGCGAAACCAAACGGGAAGUCCACUGCUUCUUCCGCGACUGUGAUGAAACCUAACGAGACAACUGCUGUUUCAUCCGCCAAUUCGAUGAACCCAAACGCUGUUACCGCUCAAUCUUCCGCGCAUGGCGUCAAUUCGGUUUGUGUUUGUUGAUUGAUUUGAUUUUGAUUGGUUUUGAUUCUUUACACAGGUGGGAGCUGUGAAGCCGGAAGAUUCGAGUGCCUCAGGUGUGAAUCAAAAGCCAUCUCCUCCGGUGGGAUCUCCAGCUCAAGGCUCUGUUGUUGUGGCACAAACCUCACCCGGUGCUUCAUCUGUUAGAUCUGUUCCUUCGACAAGCGUUAAAAAUAAACCAGAUGUUGUUCCAGCAAGGCAAACCACCAGUAUUUCAUUAAGAGAUGAUUCUGAUCAUGAUGAUCUUGAUGGAGACAUGGAAACAGCUGAUAAUGGAGAUCCUACUGAAAAUUAAGCGUGCUAGGAGACAAACAUCACGUUCACGCGUUCAGCUAAGAAACGAGUCAUCUCCAUCAUGGCAUCCUUGAAGAGUAGUUCACCAUUGAAGAGAAACACAUGGGUACAACGACCUUUUCGCAUUAGUGGAUUUACUAACAGAAAUGUUCAAAAAAUAUCACCAACCCCAAAGACUUUGGCCCAUCAUAAGUGAAGCCAACGACUUGCUCGGUACCGGUUUCCUAUGCUUUAGCUUGGAGGGUGAAACUCUAGAAGGGCAGCUAUCCAGACAGUUAUCAACUACAAAUCCUAACCUCUUAUCAGCAGUGGAUAUAUAUCAGCUCUCAGAUUAUAUGGUCAUCCCGAAUAAUCGCAGACACAAGCUGACUCCGCAGCCGUUCUUUAUUCGUAUCAACCGUGAAGCGAGUGUGAUAAAAUUAGAACACACGAUCUCAGGCUUUCCUGCACAGAAAUACUCUCCUCUCAACUUCAUGCAGCUAAUAGACUCAGCAACUGCACGCACAUACCUUCCAGGGCAGAUGUAGUAGGCCAGAUAUUUAUCAUGCAAGAUGACUACCCCCACUACCCGGAAUAUCAAACAAAGCUGAUAAUUGGUUUGCGUAUAAACGGAUGGAUGAUGGUGAAGCUAACGCUAUGGGGAAACGAAGCAUCUCUUUUCCGGCAACUACAAGCCAUGAGCCAUCGGAAGUACAAAGUUGUUUUAGUAACAAGCAUUAUACCAUGUAUGUGUAAAGGGAAACUCUUGCUAGCUUCAUCAUCCGCAACUCAGUUUUUCUUUGAUGAAAAUAUCAAGCACAUCAGUGGCUUCAGAAGCAAAAUAAGCAUUGGUGGGGAAUAGCUAAUGACGUCGAUCCAGAGAUUUGAACGUGUUCUACGCAUUGAGUGUAGAACGUCCAGGAAUAUACUCUGCUCCUGAAUGCUUUCGUGCUGUUCAAUUGUUGGCCGUAUUUAGACAUCGCUAAUGCUUCCCAUUCAGUGUUUUUUUUUUAAAUAUUUCAAUCAAUUUUAUAUUUAUUACACCUUUAUAAAGGAUACAUUUCUAAUAUAAGCUACGAUAGCAAUCGA